UGCAGCUCAGCAUCCAACGAAAGAAACAUGAAUCCCUUAUAUAUCAUCCCGACCUUGCUUCCAGCUCACCACUGGCCUCGCUGUGUUUAAAUGAUUCCUUUCUUUUGACAGGAAUGGCAGCACUUCAGGACUCCUUGGGUGGAAGAAAGUUGGCAGCAAAGAAGUCCACAGUGAACAGUUAAACAUUAUAUGAAUUAAUAUUCCCCAACAGUACUUUAAUGGUGUCUCCUUUUUCCUGCCCUCACUCAUCAUCUGUGCAUCAUGAUGGGAUCUCAUGUUUGCUUGAGGAUUCUGAGGUGAUGCUGAGAGUAAAAGACGUGACGUGGAGGCGUGGAGCAUGAAGACGGACAGCAGUCUACAUUCUAUGAAGGUUAAAGAACACCGACUCCAUCCUGAACAUGCAUGUUGUCCGCAGUAGGAUAUUGUGAUCAGGCUUGCG
rnacentral:lncRNA from 1 species